GAUGAACGCUGGCGGCGUGCUUAACACAUGCAAGUCGAGCGAAGCGCUUUGAAGUUUUCGGACGGAGAAGUGACUGAGCGGCGGACGGGUGAGUAACACGUAGGUAACCUGCCCAUGUGCCCGGGAUAACUUCUGGAAACGGAUGCUAAAACCGGAUAGGUAGCAGACAAGCAUUUGACUGCUAUUAAAGUGGCCUUGGCCAUGAACAUGGAUGGACCUGCGGUGCAUUAGCUGGUUGGUGAGGUAACGGCCCACCAAGGCGACGAUGCAUAGCCGGCCUGAGAGGGCGGACGGCCACAUUGGGACUGAGACACGGGCCCAAACUCCUACGGGAGGCAGCAGUAGGGAAUUUUUCGUCAAUGGGGGGAACCCUGAACGAGCAAUGCCGCGUGAGUGAGGAAGGUCUUCGGGAUCGUAAAGCUCUGUUGUAAGAGAAAAACGGCACU
rnacentral:rRNA from 1 species